ACUGAGAUAAUAGAUUUUUGGAAAAAUGCCACAGAGCUGAAGUAUCCUUCUCAUCACUUCAUUUUGGAGCAUGGUUUCGAGUCUCAUCAGCAUCCAGGAUGUGAGCUCUUAAGACAAUCCCAGUUUCUCUGAAUUCCUUUCAAAUCAGCAUCAGUUUCACAAAACAGGCUUAACUCAUUCAGAAGAAGUUACGUCACUCUUCUGUCCUACAAUCUUGGCCAUGUGUUUGAGAGAUUCCUUGCCUGUACAAAGGAGAUGAUGUUCAGUCUGUAACAGAAGAGACACAAUAUCAUUAAGUGCCUAC